UGUAACUUUGUGUUUGAGGGGAGGUGUGUUCAGGUUCUUCUUCUUCUUCAACAAUGGGGUUCCAGCGAUGAAUUUGCUUGCAGAAUGACCUCUGUGGACGCCCUCACAAGCUCGUUUUUUGAGAAAUAAAACCUGAUUCACAGCUUAUAAGAGCAACAAGUCAAAUAAAAGUUCCCUAAUAAAAGAUCCCUAAGCUCUACCUAACCUUCAGCUUCCCAUCUUCCAGGAUCUCGUCGCGGCUCCACGUCCAGCAGAGGUUCGUCCUCCAGGGCCCGUCCGGGUAGAGAAGCUCAGGCAGACGCGAGCCCAAGAACUGGAGCUUCUCAUCAGCCUUACGUGGAGGACAAUGAGAGCAGUGAGCCCGACGCUUUCUCAUCGAUUAAAACCUCACAUUCACACGCCCAUCGCCUCAGAAGACAGUCACAGCACAAUCAUUUUUCCUCCUGGGUGAGGAUCUGUUCGACCACUGACAUCGCCUCGCGGCCCUGUCUGACGUACUCCUUCUCCUGGAACAAGAGCCAGA